UUGGAUUAUCAGCGAAAAAGCCUUGUUCUUCCAACAUUUGGCGUGGGUUAUUUUCUGUCGGUAAACCGAUAGGAAGAGAGAUCUAAUGUUUAAAUUCCUUGGGCUUUUCAUGGGACUUUCAUGUUCAGCAGCCAGAGGCGUCAUCGUCCCUUGGUGGUGAUUCCUUGUCGAGACUUCGAGAAGAAAGUCAGAAAGUCAGAUGAUUCCAUAGCCAGGUGUCUAGCCGUGUCAUUUCAAAAGAAGCUGUUAUUUCACAGAAUUGCAUUAGAGUUAUGAAUUUAUGGU